GAUGGGGAGGGAAUUAUAGGAGGGGAGAAUAGGGAUAUAAUAGUAAAAAAUGUUAGACCUGGUGCUCAAAGCACAUGGCUACUUAAUAUGCAUUGUUGACACAUGCCUGCCAACUCCUCCUCUCACCCAGCAAAACCCCCCAUUUCCCCUCCUCCUUCGACAGAGAAGAAUGGGCAAUAUCCUUGGGCAAUUUGCUCAUUUUUCUGUUCCAAAUGUUCCAAAUACCCAUAUUGUACCAUUAGUCCUCUCCUCCAAUCAGAUGCUUCAGUUUGUUUCAAAUUGGAGAAAGAGAGCAAAAAUACACCAAUGAAGAGCCUAGCUUGUUCCAAAAGUUUUUAAGCCAAUCAUCUUCCUCUGAAAUGUUCCUAACGUCACUUCAUCACAAAAUCUUUUUCUGUCAGCCAUUGAUGCUACUCGGUGAGUAUCUGAGGUAAUUUUGCUUAAUUUGCAACGAAUUUAAAGUCAACAACUAUAAAUGUGAUGAAAUAUGACAAUAACACGUCUAGUCAACCGAAUUGUUUGACUACAGGGGCUUCCCAAACGGUGUAAUUUAACAACUUUCGUAGAUCGCUAGCUACUGUAGCCUGCUGCUGCACAGGCAAGUUAGCGUUGGCUAUAAAUAAUUGUUCUGCCAGCCAUUGAUGCUACUCGGUGAGUAUCUGAGGUAAUUUUGCUUAAUUUGCAACGAAUUUAAAGUCAACAACUAUAAAUGUGAUGAAAUAUGACAAUAACACGUCUAGCCAACCGACUUGUUUGACUACAGUGGCUACCCAAAUUGUGUAAUUUAACAACGUUCGUAAAUCGCUAGCUACUGUAGGUGGACAAAACUCACAAAGUUUAUUUGACCACUGACAAUCCUGUAAAACCUUAGCUAACAUCUAUAUCAACUAAAAGUUGGAAUUCUAUACUAUUUAAUUGUAUAUUUUCUUUUGUUUUUUGAUGGCAUGCAUUUGAAGUGUAUGUAGUUGAAUGAAUUGUAUUGAUGGUCAUUGGGGGCAAACGUGUCUUUCUAUGUAAACUGAAUUUAACUGCAAAUGAAAUAAUAAUCAUCCUACCCAUAACCCCCAAACCCCCCACUGCUGUCCUCCUCCUAGCAGACCUAUCAAGCAAACGUAAGUUCCUUUAUAUGAAUCUAAUACGGUUAUGCUGUCACUUGUCACUGCACUCAUCAGUCAUGAUAAUAGUAUUUUUCUUGCCUCCUAAGAUGGAAAAUCCAAGGUUCCGUUUCUCGCCCUCACAGGAGUUGGUCCUCAAGGCCACACACCCCAGGCAGUAUGCAGGACACAAGACAACUGUGUCCAAUUUGGCCUAGUGUUUAAUAUCUUAACAAUGUGGAGUAAUUAUAGUUGAUGAAUUUACCUCAGCACUUUCUGAGGAGGGCCUUGGAGGCAGGAAGGACUGCCAGGAGGGCAAGGCCCUUGUCGGCAUCGGGAAGUACAAGUGGGACUCACUACAGGACCUGUAUGAGGCUACAGGUGCGGACAGGAUAAAAUAUAUGUCAGGAGCUUGAGGGCGCAGACACCCCGUUAUCCUGGGAGUGCAAUGGCCGCCUUGAUUGGCUACAUUCAGUGCAGAGACCAGGAGGGGGUAGCUGCUGUGGCCAGGCCCGCCCCAGCCAGCACCACCCCUGCCAACACCAUCCGGCCCAAGAGUGCGGCUACGUAAGUGUAGGGACCUGACCCUGAUUGAUACAUGUUAUUUGAACGAACGCAUUCAUUUUGGGGUAAUUGCUUUUCUUUUAAUUGACUUAAGUUGUAUUGAUAUUUUAUUGUUUGGAUUGUUUAUUUUUGUAAGAUAAACAAAAUGUAUGGACUAAAAAAAAUAGAUUUAAAAAAAUAAAGAAAUCACCUUUGGGGAACCGCCUGUUCAGAACUGGGGGACACCAUGGAUGGCUACAUGUCAGGUGUGGAGGUGGGUCCUUGUGUGUUCAGAACUGGAGGCCACCAUGGACGGCUGGCUACAUGUCAGGUGUGGAGGUGGGGGCUUGUGUUUCCCAGCAUUAUUUGUUUUUUUGUGUGUUACAACUCUGUAAACAGUGUGUUUAUUGAGUAAGAAAAUGAUGACUUAUUUGCUUGUCUUCUUGUUUGUUGAACUUUAAAGAAGAGUGUAUGACAAUAAAUCAAAAUGAAUUUAAGGGA